GUGCCCGCAUUGGCACAUAUACUAAAAUUAUAACAAUACAGAAAAUAUUAACAUGUUCCCUGUGCAAGGAUGACACAUAAAUUUAUGAAGCAUUCCAUAUUUUA